GAAAGUCUGACCGAGCAACGCCGCGUGAGUGAAGAAGGUUUUCGGAUCGUAAAGCUCUGUUGUAAGUCAAGAACGUGUGUGAGAGUGGAAAGUUCACACAGUGACGGUAGCUUACCAGAAAGGGACGGCUAACUACGUGCCAGCAGCCGCGGUAAUACGUAGGUCCCGAGCGUUGUCCGGAUUUAUUGGGCGUAAAGGGAGCGCAGGCGGUCAGGAAAGUCUGGAGUAAAAGGCUAUGGCUCAACCAUAGUGUGCUCUGGAAACUGUCUGACUUGAGUGCAGAAGGGGAGAGUGGAAUUCCAUGUGUAGCGGUGAAAUGCGUAGAUAUAUGGAGGAACACCAGUGGCGAAAGCGGCUCUCUGGUCUGUCACUGACGCUGAGGCUCGAAAGCGUGGGUAGCGAACAGGAUUAGAUACCCUGGUAGUCCACGCCGUAAACGAUGAGUGCUAGGUGUUAGGCCCUUUCCGGGGCUUAGUGCCGGAGCUAACGCAAUAAGCACUCCGCCUGGGGAGUACGACCGCAAGGUUGAAACUCAAAGGAAUUGACGGGGGCCGCACAAGCGGUGGAGCAUGUGGUUUAAUUCGAAGCAACGCGAAGAACCUACCAGGUCUGACAUCCGAUGC
rnacentral:rRNA from 1 species